AUGAACCAGAUCUUCAGGUACCAACUUGAUUAAGUCUUGUAAACGCAGUGUGAGAUGGAGAAAAACAGUUCAUGGGAGGAGAAAUACAAGACGGCAUUUUUAGAGGCAUUCGAAAUUCACACACAGCAGCAGUGUACAGUAUUUAUGGAAAUUUACACGUACAGCCACCUGACUGAGAAGGAAGGUGGUUCUGUCUGGCGACCGAGGGCAGGACGUCGGACAGGACAGAAGUACAGGAAAGGCUCCGGCGCUAUUUACAACCUUUCAUUUCUUAAAAGGAAUAACAUGAGGCAAACGUGACAAAAUGUUGACACUUGCUAAAUCUGGGUGUUUGGGUACCUACAGGCUUGUUCUUUUCCAUGUUGCCUAAUAAGAAUAUAUUCGCCAAAAAAUAGUGUCAUUAUUUUCCAUUUUCCCCUGAAGCAUGCCAAUGUAAUACACAUAUCUUCAUAAGAUGUAAUAUGCCUUCCACAAGCUCUUUUUUUUUUCCUUUGCCUGUGCCUCACCCCUUCUCCUCUGUUCUCAUGAAGAUGUAGCUGCCAAGUGAGUCAGGAAGGCUGGGAGAAGCAAAUGUUAAUGUGGCUUUGAAAAAACUUGCUUUUUUUCUUUUUUUGGUCUGGUUUUCUGCUGUGCACGCACGCACCUUCCACCAAAAAAAACUGGUUGUUGCUAAAUGCUUUAAUCAGCAUGUAAAGGAAUAGACAGGCUAUGAAACAAAGUUUAAAGAAAUAAAGGCCCACAAAUGCAGUCAGCCCCUUCUGCAGAAUCUUAACUCUUACUGGAUGGUGCGUUUCCCUCUGUUCCUCCCCCUCUCUCCCCUUUUCCUUCUCUCUCAAGCAUAAAAGCAGGACUAUUCUAUCCUACCUUGAGUCUUUUAAGGUCUAAGUUCUCUUUCUGACUCUCUCCCCACGUCUAAGUCCCUGAGCCCCCUUGCCAGAACUUUCCUCGCAAUCACUUCUGGUUUGAAUUACAAAGGGUAACGCUUUGGUUUGCGGUAGAGCCUGGCUCUCUUUUCUUUAGGUGUUGGUGUGUGUGUGUUUCACUGCCAUCAGUAGGAAGGCAUAAUACAGAAAACACUCGGGUGUUGCCACCCCCUGCGCGCAAGUGGAAAGAUACUCCCCAAAGUCGAUUUAUGCUCCACAGUUUAUUUCCAAAGACUGUUUUCCAAUCAGAUUUUCAUAGGUUAUUUACUCACUCUAUGCAUUUUCCUCAUUCUUUCUGAAAAAGGAAAGGAGUUUGCAUUUGGUUUAUUCGUAGGAAGGCUUAGAAUCUGACGAUUCUCUCUCUCUCUCUCUCUCUUUUUUUUUUUUUUUUUCUUUUUUGGCCACACGCACAGUACAUGGAAGUUCCUGGGCCAAGGAUCAAAUCCGAGCCUCAGGUGCAACCUAAGCCAUAGCUGCAUUAAUGCUGGAUCCUUUACCCACUGUGCCACAGUUGGAACUCCUGAUGGUUCUUUAAAAAACAAAACAAAACAAAACAGGGAAUUCCUGUUGUGGUUCAGUGGGUUAGGAACCUGACUAGUAGACUAGUAUCCAUGAGGAUGCAGGUUUGAUCCCUGGCCUCACUCAGUGGGUUAAGGAUCCAGCAUUAAGAAUCCUUAUAUCCUAAGAAUUCCUAGCCCUAAAAAAGAAAAAAAAAAA
rnacentral:lncRNA from 9 species